CUGGUAAUGAUGUCAUCACUAGAUAAUGGUAAUGAUGUCAUCACUAGAUUCUGGUAAUAACAUCACCAGUGAAGUCAUCACUAGAUACUAGUAAUUUCUCCCUCAGGAGACUAGAAAGACUUGGCAUGGGGCCCCAGAUUUUCUAAAUGUUCUCCAGCUGCACCAUCGAGAGCAUCCUGGCCGGUUGCAUCACCGCCUGGUAUUGCCAAGCUUCCUGACAUCUAGGACUUAUAUACUAGGCGGUGUCAGAGGAAAGCCCAAAAAGUUGUCAAAGACUCCAGCCUCCCUAGUCAUAGACUGUUCUCUCUGCCACCGCACGGCAAGCGGUACCUGGAGCGCCAAGUCUAGGUCAAAAAGGCUCCAUAACAGAUUCUACCCCCAAGCCAUAAGACUGCUGAACAAUUAAUCAAAUGGCCACCCAGACUACUUACAUUGACCCCCCCCCCCCAACCACACACAUACACACAGUGCUGCUAUUCGCUUUUUAUUAUCUAUGCAUAGUCACUUCACCCCUACCUACAUGUACAAAUUACCUCGACUAACCUGUACCCCCCCACAUUGACUCUGUACCGGUACCCCCUGUAUACAGCCUCAUUACAAACCUGUACCCCUCCACAUUGACUCUGUACCGGUACCCCCUGUUUAUAGCCUCCACAUUGACCCAGUACUGGUACCCCCUGUAUAUAGCCUCCACAUUGACUCUGUACCGGUACCCCCUGUUUAUAGCCUCCACAUUGACUCUGUACCGGUACCCCCGGUGUAUAGCCUCCACAUUGACUCUGUACCGGUACCCUCAGUAUAUAGCCUCUACAUUGACCCAGUACCGGUACCCUCAGUAUAUAGCCUCCACAUUGACCCAGUACCGGUACCCUCAGUAUAUAGCCUCCACAUUGACUCUGUACCAGUACCCUCAGAAUAUAGCCUCCACAUUGACCCAGUACCGGUACCCUCAGUAUAUAGCCUCCACAUUGACCCAGUACCGGUACCCUCAGUAUAUAGCCUCCACAUUGACCCAGUACCGGUACCCUCAGUAUAUAGCCUCCACAUCGACCCAGUACCGGUACCCUCAGUAUAUAGCCUCCACAUUGACUCUGUACCAGUACCCUCAGAAUAUAGCCUCCACAUUGACCCAGUACCGGUACCCUCAGUAUAUAGCCUCCACAUUGACUCUGUACCAGUACCCUCAGAAUAUAGCCUCCACAUUGACCCAGUACCGGUACCCUCAGUAUAUAGCCUCCACAUUGACUCUGUACCAGUACCCUCAGAAUAUAGCCUCCACAUUGACCCAGUACCGGUACCCUCAGUAUAUAGCCUCCACAUUGACUCUGUACCAGUACCCUCAGAAUAUAGCCUCCACAUUGACCCAGUACCGGUACCCUCAGAAUAUAGCCUCCACAUUGACUCUGUACCAGUACCCUCAGUAUAUAGCCUCCACAUUGACCCAGUACCGGUACCCUCAGUAUAUAGCCUCCACAUUGACCCAGUACCGGUACCCUCAGUAUAUAGCCUCCACAUUGACCCAGUACCGGUACCCUCAGUAUAUAGCCUCCACAUUGACUCUGUACCAGUACCCUCAGAAUAUAGCCUCCACAUUGACCCAGUACCGGUACCCUCAGUAUAUAGCCUCCACAUUGACCCAGUACCGGUACCCUCAGUAUAUAGCCUCCACAUUGACCCAGUACCGGUACCCUCAGUAUAUAGCCUCCACAUCGACCCAGUACCGGUACCCUCAGUAUAUAGCCUCCACAUUGACUCUGUACCAGUACCCUCAGAAUAUAGCCUCCACAUUGACCCAGUACCGGUACCCUCAGUAUAUAGCCUCCACAUUGACUCUGUACCAGUACCCUCAGAAUAUAGCCUCCACAUUGACCCAGUACCGGUACCCUCAGUAUAUAGCCUCCACAUUGACUCUGUACCAGUACCCUCAGAAUAUAGCCUCCACAUUGACCCAGUACCGGUACCCUCAGUAUAUAGCCUCCACAUUGACUCUGUACCAGUACCCUCAGAAUAUAGCCUCCACAUUGACCCAGUACCG
rnacentral:lncRNA from 1 species